UGCAGUCGAGCGGUAGAGAGAAGCUUGCUUCUCUUGAGAGCGGCGGACGGGUGAGUAAUGCCUAGGAAUCUGCCUGGUAGUGGGGGAUAACGUUCGGAAACGGACGCUAAUACCGCAUACGUCCUACGGGAGAAAGCAGGGGACCUUCGGGCCUUGCGCUAUCAGAUGAGCCUAGGUCGGAUUAGCUAGUUGGUGGGGUAAUGGCUCACCAAGGCGACGAUCCGUAACUGGUCUGAGAGGAUGAUCAGUCACACUGGAACUGAGACACGGUCCAGACUCCUACGGGAGGCAGCAGUGGGGAAUAUUGGACAAUGGGCGAAAGCCUGAUCCAGCCAUGCCGCGUGUGUGAAGAAGGUCUUCGGAUUGUAAAGCACUUUAAGUUGGGAGGAAGGGCCAUUACCUAAUACGUGAUGGUCUUGACGUUACCGACAGAAUAAGCACCGGCUAACUCUGUGCCAGCAGCCGCGGUAAUACAGAGGGUGCAAGCGUUAAUCGGAAUUACUGGGCGUAAAGCGCGCGUAGGUGGUUUGUUAAGUUGGAUGUGAAAUCCCCGGGCUCAACCUGGGAACUGCAUUCAAAACUGACUGACUAGAGUAUGGUAGAGGGUGGUGGAAUUUCCUGUGUAGCGGUGAAAUGCGUAGAUAUAGGAAGGAACACCAGUGGCGAAGGCGACCACCUGGACUGAUACUGACACUGAGGUGCGA
rnacentral:rRNA from 1 species